CGGUCUUCUUCCAAAAAGGGUUUCUGAAAAGCGUCGGUCUUCUUCUUCAGCGUAACGAUGAGCUGCGGCUAACGGCAACAGUAUUCUUCGACAAACUUCGGUCUUCUUCUUCAGAGUGAGGUUCUUCGUCUUCUUCAAUCUGGGCAUCUUCAGUUCAUCUCCAGUGGUCUUAUUCUCAAUAAGAAUCUUCGUCGACUGCAAGCUUUUGCAUAUAAAGUAUUUCUGUUUCUACAUUCUCUGAGGAAUCUUCAACUUUAGAGUCGACCAACAAGAAUCCAGCCGAAGGCUGGCAUAUCAACUUCUGCUAGUCCAUCGCUUGCUGAAGUUAGGAUGCUUGUUCAGAAAGUGAAAAUGAAUUCUACCAUUCCUCCAACAAAUGAACAAUCUGAAGAACAAGGUAACAUAUAAGCUUAGAAACUUAUUGAAUUCAUCCAUGAUUUCUAAUUUCUUGUUACUUCUUUUAAGUGAGCCAUUUUAGAUCGAGUAUUGUCAGUUGAUCUAGAAGUGCUUAAUUUGUACAACAAAAUUACUCCAAACCUAAGAGACCAUUUGAUUAAAAAGGAUGAAUAUAAAUUAGAGUACUUAAGAUGAUUUUAGUUUGUCACAAUUUUUACAAGUUAAACAAUUAAAGGUAUAUCUACUACAUAUGUGAAUCAUGUGAUCUCACGAGAGAAUUAGGCAGAUAUAUAUUGAAUUAGAUUUUAAAAAUUUAUUGGACUAAAAAUUUUGAAUCAAAUUUUAAGAAUUUAUCUUUAAAAAUAAUAAUUCAAAUUUUCAAAAAUUGGUUCAGAUAGUUGAUUGGAGAAAUUACAUUUGAUUUUUCCUCACAAAAAAUCAAAUAUUUUUAAAACUAAAAUGUAUCUUUCAAACACAUUAAAUAUUAAAAACAUAACUUUUAUAUUUCAAUUUUUAACUUCACAAUAUAUAAUCAAAUAGCAACUUUAAAUAUUAAAAACAUACUUAAUUUUUAUAUUUCAA